GCCCUUAUAGCUCAGUGGUAGAGCGCGUCACUAGUAAUGACGAGGUCGAUAGUUCAAAUCUGUCUGGGGGCA